UACGGAAGGCAGCAGUGGGGAAUAUUGCACAAUGGGCGCAAGCCUGAUGCAGCCAUGCCGCGUGUAUGAAGAAGGCCUUCGGGUUGUAAAGUACUUUCAGUCGUGAGGAAGGUGUUAAGGUUAAUAACCUUAGCAAUUGACGUUAGCGACAGAAGAAGCACCGGCUAACUCCGUGCCAGCAGCCGCGGUAAUACGGAGGGUGCGAGCGUUAAUCGGAAUUACUGGGCGUAAAGGGCAUGCAGGCGGUUAAUUAAGUUGGAUGUGAAAUCCCCGGGCUUAACCUGGGAAUGGCAUUCAAGACUGGUUAGCUAGAGUCUUGUAGAGGGGGUAGAAUUCCAUGUGUAGCGGUGAAAUGCGUAGAGAUGUGGAGGAUACCGGUGGCGAAGGCGGCCCCUGGGACAAAGACUGACGCUCAUGUGCGAAAGCGUGGGGAGCAAACAGGAUUAGAUACC
rnacentral:rRNA from 1 species